AGGGAAGAAGGUAACAGCGUAUCGUAAACCUCUUUUGUCAGGGAACAAAGGCGGGACUAGUCCCCGGAUGAGGGUACCUGAAGAAAAAGCAUCGGCUAACUCCGUGCC
rnacentral:rRNA from 1 species